rnacentral:rRNA from 1 species
CAGAACGAACGCUGGCGGCAUGCCUAACACAUGCAAGUCGAACGAACCCUUCGGGGUUAGUGGCGCACGGGUGCGUAACGCGUGGGAAUCUGCCCUUAGGUACGGAAUAACUCAGGGAAACUUGUGCUAAUACCGUAUGAUGUCGAGAGACCAAAGAUUUAUCGCCAAAGGAUCGGCCCGCGUUGGAUUAGGUAGUUGGUGGGGUAAUGGCCUACCAAGCCGACGAUCCAUAGCUGGUUUGAGAGGAUGAUCAGCCACACUGGGACUGAGACACGGCCCAGACUCCUACGGGAGGCAGCAGUGGGGAAUCUUAGACAAUGGGCGCAAGCCUGAUCUAGCCAUGCCGCGUGAGCGAUGAAGGCCUUAGGGUUGUAAAGCUCUUUCAGUGGGGAAGAUAAUGACUGUACCCACAGAAGAAGCCCCGGCUAACUCCGUG